CCAAAAAUGGGAAAUUCUGUUUUUCCUUUAUAGAUACUACUUUAUUAUGAUAGAGCAAAUUCAUUUACCAAUAUUAACUAUGAAUAUCUAAGUGGACAUUUCAGUUAAAAAUAUUGUUAUUAAUAUAUGAUAAUAUAAUACAGUAUAGGUAAUUCAUUUAGGGAACAUUAAGUGCCAGCAUCCGCGGUCAUACUUACACUAAAUUUAGGAUUUGUGAAUAAUUUUAAUAAAAAGAAUCAUUUAAAUAAAUUCUAAAAUAUGUAAUAAUCAUAAAGGUGCAGUAAAAUGCUCUUUAUGACUCGAAAAUUUACAUAUUAUUUGAACAAAUAGAAUAUAAAACUUGACAAAUAAACCAGGAUUAGAUACCCUGCUAUACAAGAGAAAAUAAAUUAACACUUUAUAUUAGAGCAGUAAAAUUAUACCGAUUGAAACUCAAAAAAUAUGGCGGCCUAAAAUAAAUUUAGGGGAACUUACUACAAUAACAUGAUAACCAUCAAGCAAAACAAUAUAUUUUAAAAAUUUUGUAUGCCGUCGUUGUGUGAAUAAUUUUUAAUAAUCUAUCAAAAAAUCAAUUUGAAUCAAUAACAAAACAGAUCAAGGUGCAGAAGAUAAAUAUACAAGUAGCGAGUUACAAUAAAAAUUUAUAUUCUUUUUCAGUAACAUUUUUGUGAAAAAAUGUUUAAGGUGGACUUAAAAGUAAAACAUUAAAUAAAAUUAUUCAUAAAUUAUGAAGAACACAUUUUAGGUGU
rnacentral:rRNA from 1 species